UACGUAGGGUGCAAGCGUUGUCCGGAUUUAUUGGGCGUAAAGAGCGUGUAGGCGGCCUGACAAGUCUGCUGUGAAAACUCGAGGCUCAACCUCGAGAUGUCGGCGGAAACUGUCUGGCUAGAGUCCGGAAGAGGAGAGUGGAAUUCCUGGUGUAGCGGUGAAAUGCGCAGAUAUCAGGAAGAACACCUAUGGCGAAGGCAGCUCUCUGGGACGGUACUGACGCUGAGACGCGAAAGCGUGGGGAGCGAACAGG
rnacentral:rRNA from 1 species